rnacentral:rRNA from 1 species
UUAUUGGGCGUAAGAGCUCGUAGGCGGUUUGUCGCGUCUGCCGUGAAAGUCCGGGGCUCAACUCCGGAUCUGCGGUGGGUACGGGCAGACUAGAGUGAUGUAGGGGAGACUGGAAUUCCUGGUGUAGCGGUGAAAUGCGCAGAUAUCAGGAGGAACACCGAUGGCGAAGGCAGGUCUCUGGGCAUUAACUGACGCUGAGGAGCGAAAGCAUGGGGAGCGAACAGGAUUAGAUACCCUGGUAGUCCAUGCCGUAAACGUUGGGCACUAGGUGUGGGGGACAUUCCACGUUUUCCGCGCCGUAGCUAACGCAUUAAGUGCCCCGCCUGGGGAGUACGGCCGCAAGGCUAAAACUCAAAGGAAUUGACGGGGGCCCGCACAAGCGGCGGAGCAUGCGGAUUAAUUCGAUGCAACGCGAAGAACCUUACCAAGGCUUGACAUGGGCCGGACCGGGCUGGAAACAGUCCUUCCCCUUUGGGGCCGGUUCACAGGUGGUGCAUGGUUGUCGUCAGCUCGUGUCGUGAGAUGUUGGGUUAAGUCCCGCAACGAGCGCAACCCUCGUUCCAUGUUGCCAGCGCGUAAUGGCGGGGACUCAUGGGAGACUGCCGGGGUCAACUCGGAGGAAGGUGGGGACGACGUCAAAUCAUCAUGCCCCUUAUGUCUUGGGCUUCACGCAUGCUACAAUGGCCGGUACAAAGGGUUGCGAUACUGUGAGGUGGAGCUAAUCCCAAAAAGCCGGUCUCAGUUCGGAUUGGGGUCUGCAACUCGACCCCAUGAAGUCGGAGUCGCUAGUAAUCGCAGAUCAGCAACGCUGCGGUGAAUACGUUCCCGGGGCUUGUACACACCGCCCGUCAAGUCACGAAAGUUGGUAACACCCGAAGCCGGUGGCCUAACCCCUUGUGGGAGGGAGCUGUCGAAGUGGGACUGGCGAUUGGGACGAA